CUAGCGCGGCUCUUAGCCCCUCGUUGCUGCUAUUGGCACCUUAUCCACCACGCAUGUUUUCUCUCUUACUCACUCUCCCCUCACACACUCUCUUGCUCGCUCUCUGCUGUCUCCCGCCAGCCGCUACCAUCGCCUGGCGCCGCCCGCUGUUGCCCUCGCUCCUCCACCGGGGUACCGAAUAAAAUAUAAAAAUGUUGUUGCCAAUUAUAUCGAUGAUCUAAAUUUGUCACUCGGUGAAAUAUGCACGCUUUCUCGUGUCAUGUCUCCUUGGAGUGAUCAUCAUCGGAGCUUCCUCUACUUCCUCAGCUGAGUGGGUAAGAUAAAAGUUCACCACCUCCUCCUCCUAUGCUCUUUGUUUCAUGUCACUAAAACAUUUUGUCGAGAGUGGUACGGUUUGUAUAUAUGAUGAUAUUUGGACAUGUAUUGGUUGUCUCUUUGGACAUGUGUAUAAUUUUGCAGGGAACACCUCCGAGUGGUAUAUUUUUGCCGGAAUGUUGAUUUGUUUCCUUUCUGGCAAUUUUAAGGCGCUCGAUGUGUCCUAUUUUAGCAAAGAUCAUGCCGAAUUUGUUGGUUUGUUGGGAUCCGAUCUUCUUGGAGUUCUAUUCGAUGUAAUCCUUUUUUACGGUGUGUUUGUUGGGAUCCGAUGAAUUGUGGGUUUAUGAUCAGAUUAUUCAUUGAAAGUAAUUGAGUCUUUUCUGAACUUUAUUAUGCAUGAUCGUUAUAGCUUUGUAUUUCCCUCUGAUCUAUCUGUUUGGUUUCGCCAACUAGACUGAUUUAUCUUCAAUGAGAGAGAUUCUUUAUGGUGGGUUCAAUCUUGCGGCGCUCUAUAUCCCAGUGACAAAAGGGGACAAGACACAUAUUUGUAUUGUUGUCAUUAAGGAUAAAACGGCGGAGUUUAUUCAUGUUGAUUGGGUUUACUUUGUCUACAUCAUGUCAUCUUGCUUAAGGUAUUACUCCGUUUUUCAUGAACUUAAUACCAUAGAUGCAUGCUGGAUAGUGGUCGAUUGGUGGAUUAGCUGUAGUAGAUGCAAGGAGUCGGUCUACUUGUCUCGGACGUGAUGCGUAUAUACAUGAUCAUUGUCGUGAAUAUGUCAUAACUAUGCGCUUUUAUAUCAAUUGUCCAACAGUAAUUUGUUCACCCACCGCACUUUAUGUGCUCGAGAGAGAAGCCUCUAGUGAAAACUAUGGCCCCCCGGUCUACUUUUAUCAUAUUAUAAAAACAAAAAUACCUUGCUGCAAUUUAUUUACUUUUAUUUUACUUUUCCAUUUAUGCAUCUACCUAUACAAGAUUUGAUCCUUGCAAGUAACGAGUUCAACAGGAUUGACAACCCUCUUGCCCGGUUGGAUGCAAGUAUUUGCUUUUGUGUGUGCAGGUAUUGUUCACGAGGCUUUGCGUGAUUCUCCUAUUGGUUCGACAAACCUUGGUUCUCGCUGAGGGAAAUACUUAUCUCUACUAUACUACAUCUCCCCUCCUCUUUGGGGAAAAUCCCAACACAGCUCACAAGUAGCAGAUGCUAAGCAUUGUCUCGUAUAAUUGUUUGUGAUGGCUCA